rfam:Triticum aestivum genome assembly, contig: Triticum_aestivum_CS42_TGACv1_scaffold_031006_1BL
CUAGUACUCCCUCCGUCCGGAAAAAUUUGUCCUUGAUAUCGAUGUAUCUAGCACCAAGUUAGUGCUAGAUACAACCAUUUAAGGAACAAGCUUGGGACAAGUUUUUCCGGACGAAGGGAGUACAAA